GAUUAACGCGAAGAACCUUACCUACCCUUGACAUGGUCGGAAUCCUGCUGAGAGGUGGGAGUGCUCGAAAGAGAACCGGCGCACAGGUGCUGCAUGGCUGUCGUCAGCUCGUGGCGUGAGAUGUUGGGUUAAGUCCCGCAACGAGCGCAACCCUUGUCCUUAGUUGCUACACAAGAGCACUCUAAGGAGACUGCCGGUGACAAACCGGAGGAAGGUGGGGAUGACGUCAAGUCCUCAUGGCCCUUAUGGGUAGGGCUUCACACGUCAUACAAUGGUCGGAACAGAGGGUUGCCAACCCGCGAGGGGGAGCUAAUCCCAGAAAACCGAUCGUAGUCCGGAUUGCACUCUGCAACUCGAGUGCAUGAAGCUGGAAUCGCUAGUAAUCGCGGAUCAGCAUGCCGCGGUGAAUACGUUCCCGGGCUUUACACACCGAAUCACUAGU
rnacentral:rRNA from 1 species